UACGGAGGGUGCAAGCGUUAUCCGGAUUCACUGGGUUUAAAGGGUGCGUAGGAGGGCAGGUAAGUCAGUGGUGAAAUCUCCGAGCUUAACUUGGAAACUGCCAUUGAUACUAUCAAUCUUGAAUACCGUGGAGGUCAGCGGAAUAUGUCAUGUAGCGGUGAAAUGCUUAGAUAUGACAUAGAACACCAAUUGCGAAGGCAGCUGGCUACACGAAUAUUGACACUGAUGCACGAAAGCGUGGGGAUCAAACAGG
rnacentral:rRNA from 1 species